GGAGAACAGCCAGCCUCAACCCAGGAGAACAGCCAGGCUCAGCCCAGGAGAGCAGCCAGCCUCAACCCAGGAGAACAGAGAACAGCCAGUCUCAGCCCAGGAGAACAGCCAGCCUCAACCCAGGAGAGCAGUCAGCCUCAACUCAGGAGAACAGAGAACAGUCAGCUUCAACUCAGGAGAACAGAGAACAGCCAGCCUCAACCCAGGAGAACAGAGAACAGCCAGUCUCAACCCAGGAGAACAGCCAGCCUCAGCCCAGGAGAACAGUCAGCCUCAACUCAGGAGAACAGAGAACAGUCAGCUUCAACUCAGGAGAACAGAGAACAGCCAGUCUCAACUCAGGAGAACAGAGAACAGCCAGUCUCAACUCAGGAGAACAGCCAGCCUCAACCCAGGAGAACAGUCAGCCUCAGCCCAGGAGAACAGUCAGCCUCAGCCCAGGAGAACAGUCAGCCUCAGCCCAGGAGAACAGUCAGCCUCAGCCCAGGAGAACAGUCAGCCUCAGCCCAGGAGAACAGUCAGCCUCAACCCAGGAGAACAGCCAGCCUCAACCCAGGAGAACAGAGAACAGCCAGCCUCAACCCAGGAGAACAGCCAGCCUCAACCCAGGAGAACAGAGAACAGCCAGCCUCAACCCAGGAGAACAGCCAGCCUCAACCCAGGAGAACAGCCAGGCUUAGCCCAGGAGAGCAGCCAGUCUCAACCCAGGAGAACAGAGAACAGCCAGCCACAGCCCAGGAGAACAGCCAGCCUCAACCCAGGAGAGCAGCCAGCCUCAACCCAGGAGAGCAGCCAGCCUCAACCCAGGAGAACAGAGAACAGCCAGCCUCAACCCAGGAGAACAGCCAGCCUCAACCCAGGAGAACAGCCAGCCUCAGCCCAGGAGAACAGCCAGCCUCAACCCAGGAGAACAGCCAGCCUCAGCCCAGGAGAACAGUCAGUCUCAACUCAGGAGAACAGAGAACAGUCAGCUUCAACUCAGGAGAACAGCCGGUCUCUAGGUUGAAGGUAAGAGAGGAAGAUGGAGGUGUUCACUCUGAAAAGGACAUGGUAUUCUGGGAAGUGGAAUGUGUAUCUAUCUUCAACAUGAUGAUACCAUGGCAACACAACAUCCACCUCUCUAGUAAAGACUGACAGACAUUAAAGGGUUUCCAUGCCCUUUGCCCAUUCCAUGUCUCCCUUG
rnacentral:lncRNA from 1 species